GUCCCUGGAGUGUGGGGGUGUUGUGAGAGCCACAAGGCUGCAGCAAUAGCACAGCAGGGGCAGGCAGAGGUGGGGGAAACCCGGGAUGAGGAGGGCAAAACGUGACUGCCAGAGCAGUCCUGCUGCAUGGGGCUGAGAGAGUUUGGGAGGUGACACUCCCACAUCACUGAUAACACAGGGGCAGCCCUUGAGACUGAGGGCUUCUGGUGGACAGACAGGACCAGGAAGAGGUGCAGGUUUCCUUGGCAGCCACAGAUUUCUUUAUUUUUUGGCCACGAGGCUCCAAAGCCUCACUGUGGGCAGGCAGGAGGUGGCUCAGAGUGGUGCGUGACCGGGGCUCUGCCUCGCAGCAGCUGUGGGGGAACCCCUGCACCGGAGGGAAGCCGCUGUCAGCACGGAGCUUUGCUGAGCCUGAAGCCCAGGACAGAGGCCCUCACCCCACCCUGACAGAGCGAUGGAAGUACUCGAGCUGGACGUGCUGGCAGCCUGAAACAAAAGGGAUGCAGCAAAACUGCCAGGUGUGGUCCAGUGGGUGCUUUCACCUUGUCUGGAGCCUGCUAGGUCUUUGCUUACCAGCAAGUCAUCGCUGCCAUCUAGCGUCCCUGCCGUGCACUGCCCAGCCUGCAGAAGGGCACAAAUGCAGGUGUUCCUUCUACCUGCCUUACAACAGACUACGUGGCCCUCAGAAAACUGCCACCGUUCAUCUGCCUUGACCUGCGAUGCGAGUACCCGAGGAAAUCAGCUGCGCUGGCCAAAUAAGAGAUGGUCUUUCACUUCCAAAGCCAGAGAGGUCAGGGUGAGGAAGGGUCUAAUACCCUCAGGAAUGUGGGACACCAGUAAUUAGGGCUGGCUUGUGGAGAAGAGACUGAUGACCAGCGAAUCUCUUCAGUAUUGGAGAGUGGAGUAAGUGUGGAGGUAAGAACAAGGAUAUCGCUUACAGCACUUUGAGUGCUAUA